CUGCCCUUUCGGGUAGGGGUAAGGCUCGUCUACAUAUUACCCUCCCCAGACCCCAUUUUGUGGGACUAUACUGGGUAGUUGUUGUUGUUGUUGUAGCUGCAUUUAAGGUUUUGUGUGUCGUUUGUUUUGCUUUUGUAUUAAGGAUUUUAGAUUAGUCAAUAUCAUGUUAGGAUUUCAUCACAGGUCUAAUGUUAAUUUUAGUUCAAUGCAUGAAAUAACUUUGUUUCAAUAGUAAUUUCUGACAUCAAUCUAUGUUAGAAGAAUUUUGGUAUAGCUAAAGGUUCAAUUGCAUUGUUGUUGGUUAUUUGGACAUGUUUAGUUAAUAAUUUUAUUUUAGCGUGCAUCGAUUUAUCCAUUCUAGUUUCCAGAAUCAUUCCUGUAUUUAUACAAAUUCCAUUUAGAGUUCAAGAUUAAUUUAGAGUUCAUUAUGAAUUGAUUUCAUUCUAGAGGUUUUGGUUCAUUUGCUAAUUUUCAGAUGCUCAACUUUUAAAGUUUUAUUUGCUUUCAAUCCGUUUGUUAGAUAUUAGUUUGUUGAUUUUCUGUUUACCUAGGUUUGUAAAUGUUUAGAACUCUUAGAGUAUUAAUUGAAUAUAUGAAACUUAUGAGGUUAAUUUAAGAAUAGAAAAUCAGAUUUUUAGAAGGGAAACUUCUAGAAUCUGGGGCAGCUGGCCAAUUUUAGCCAGCACAAAUGCUGGAGCCAAUCAAUGGCUGUCAGUUGUCCUAAUUCUGUUAGAAAAGAUGACUUGUGAGGAAAUAAUUCUCAUUCUGUUUUCAGCAGCGCAUGGAAUUCCUAAAAGGCUAUAUAUAGACUCUUCUUUCACUCAAAAUAUCAGGUAUUCAUACCUGAAAAGUACCCAAAAAAAGUUUUCUACAUUCCUAUUUAGCUCGAAUUACUUUUUAUGUUUUAGAAAUUAAAGGUUUUUAUGGGAAUUUCUGAUUUUCCAAGCUGGAAAUAGCUGAUCAUGAAAGCUGUUUGGUUUCGAUUCUCAUUGUUGUUCACUGUUGCUGAUCUUCUUAUUGUUCACUCUAGUUGACAUCAGGAUUUUUCUUUCCCUUUUGUUGUAUCCAGGUACUCUCACAAAAUAAAAAAUGUAGUUAUAAUAUGCUGGCUGGGUGAGAAAUUCCAAAUCUAUUUUGUUUAAUGUGUUUCCUUAUUUUUUCCUUUUGAUGUAUCCAGUUUUUCUUCCCAUUUAUUUGAGCUAUUUUAUCUUUAAAUUUGAUAUUCACUGCCGUGCAGUCAGUCUUGGUGUUUGAGUGUUGAAAGUUGGGGUUAUUAUUAGCAGUGCUUUACAUUUUUUCUAUGCUGCUUCACCUAUACCUACGAGUGUAAUGUGUGGGACUGUAUUAAAACUGCUACUUGUAAGUUGUCAUGUGAGCUUAAGUGAUUGAACACCUUCAACAUGUCUAACAUUAAUGUUAUUGAUAUGAAUGCAUGCAUAGGGUUGGGAGGAUAUAUGAAUAGAUCCAUUUAACAAGCUAUACGUGUGGAAUCAUGUUCGUAUUUGGUUCGAGUUAGGAAUUUUAUUAUAGUGCAACAGUGGUGUGUAGGCUAUUAUGGUUUCUGAAUAAGGAAAGUUCUAAAUUUUGUAUUGUUAACAUAAUAAUAUGAUGAUUGGUCUUAGAAUGAGCCAUUUUAAUUUGUUAAAAUUUGCAAGUGAUUUGGGCUGCAAUUUGUUAAGAAGAAUGUUGAGCUUCGAAUGGGCCUGAUAUGAGCCCAAAUCGAAAUAGCCUAGUCUCGUUUCAAGUUGGGCAAUUCAGCUUUAGCUUAGUUUAUUUCAUUUUCUUUUCAUUUUGGUCCGGAGCAUUGGU
rnacentral:lncRNA from 1 species